rnacentral:rRNA from 1 species
UACGAAGGGUGCAAGCGUUAAUCGGAAUUACUGGGCGUAAAGGGUGCGUAGGCGGUUCGUUAAGUCUGUCGUGAAAUCCCCGGGCUCAACCUGGGAAUGGCGAUGGAUACUGGCGAGCUAGAGUGUGUCAGAGGAUGGUGGAAUUCCCGGUGUAGUGGUGAAAUGCGUAGAGAUCAGGCGGAACACCCGUGGCGAAGGCGGCCAGCUGGGCCGUCCCUGACGCUGAGGCGCGAAGGCGUGGGGAGCGAACGGG